UGGAAGUAAAAGUCGUAACAAGGUUUCCGUAGGUGAACCUGCGGAAGGAUCAUUAAUAAAUUCUGACCAUAAAUUGGUUAGAUACAAUAAUCAUCCUACCCUAUGUGAAUUUGUUGUAUAAAAUAAUUUUUUUGAUAAAAUUAUUUGAUUUGUCUUUCCCUGAUGUUAAGAGAGGUUGUAAAAGACUUUUCUUACUCAGGGGAUAGAUUUUUCAAAUAAUUUUUGAGAAAGACCUUUUUUUAAAUAAAACUUUUUGUAUUCAUUUGUCUAAAAAAAUUUUUAUAAAUAAUAUAAAACAACUUUUGACAAUGGAUCUCUUGGUUCUCGCAACGAUGAAGAACGCAGCAAAAUGCGAUAAGUAGUGUGAAUUGCAGAAUACGUGAAUCAUCGAAUCUUCGAACGCAUAUUGCACUUUUUAGUUUACUAAAAAAGUAUGUCUGUUUGAGUAUCAGUAAAAUAUUCUCAUAAAAAAUUUAUUUUUAUGGUUUUGAGUGUUUUACAACGAUACAAGUUGUUUCACUUUAAAUUUUUUGAUAUUGGAAAUUUUUCAAUUUUUUUAAAAUUGGAUAAAAUUUUCCCGUAAAAAGGAAUAAACUUGACAAUUUUAAAAAUAAAGAAAAACAUUUCCACAAUAAAGGAAAUUUAAAAUCAACUUGAUCUCAAAUCAGAUAAGAGUACCCGCUGAACUUAAGCAUAUCAAUAAGCGGAGGAAAAGAAACUAACAAGGAUUCCCCUAGUAACGGCGAGUGAAGCGGGAAGAGCUCAAAUUUGAAAUCUUAAAGGGUUUCCCUUUACGAAUUGUAGUUUAAAGAAGUGUUUUCUGUUGGAGUUUCGGUAAAAGUUCUUUGGAAUAGGACAUCAUAGAGGGUGAGAAUCCCGUAUUUGACCGUUACUUUCCAGCUGUGUGAUACACUUUCAAAGAGUCGGGUUGUUUGGGAAUGCAGUCCAAAAUGGGUGGUAAAUUUCAUCUAAAGCUAAAUAUUGGCGAGAGACCGAUAGCGAACAAGUACCGUGAGGGAAGAUGAAAAGAACUUUGAAAAGAGAGUUAAACAGUACGUGAAAUUGUCAAAAGGGAAGCGUUUGACACCAGUGUUGUUUUUUCGAAAAUCAAUUAAGAAUGGCUUGAUUUUGUGUUGUAUUGACCUUAUCAGCUUUCUUCACUCUUCUUCGAGUCUUUCUUAAUGCACUUUUCGGUUAACAAGUCAACAUCAAAUUCUUUUGUUGUAAAAGGGUAUUUGGAAGGUGGCUUUCUUUUCGGAGAAAGUGUUUAUAGCCUUAUACCUCUACAAUCGGAGAGAUUGAGGUCUGCAGCGUAGAUCCUUCGGGGCUAGAUACACUUGUGCUAAGUUAUAGCUUUUCAUAGACAACUUGUUGACUAUGUUUAGUCAUGUAGCUACCCGCUUGUGCUAUUUUACCUACGCUUAGGAUGU
rnacentral:misc_RNA from 1 species